rnacentral:rRNA from 1 species
GACGAACGCUGGCGGCGUGCUUAACACAUGCAAGUCGAGCGGUAAGGCCCCUUCGGGGGUACACGAGCGGCGAACGGGUGAGUAACACGUGAGCAAUCUGCCCAUCACAUCGGGAUAACUCUGGGAAACCGAAGCUAAUACCGAAUACGACCACCUCCGGCAUCGGAUGGUGGUGGAAAGUUCCGGCGGUGAUGGAUGAGCUCGCGGCCUAUCAGCUUGUUGGUGGGGUAACGGCCCACCAAGGCUUCGACGGGUAGCCGGCCUGAGAGGGUGACCGGCCACACUGGGACUGAGACACGGCCCAGACUCCUACGGGAGGCAGCAGUGGGGAAUAUUGGACAAUGGGCGAAAGCCUGAUCCAGCAACGCCGCGUGAGGGAUGACGGCCUUCGGGUUGUAAACCUCUUUCAGCAGGGACGAAGCGCAAGUGACGGUACCUGCAGAAGAAGCACCGGCCAACUACGUG